AGAUGGCGACCGGCGCACGGGUGAGUAACACGUAUCCAACCUGCCGAUAACUCGGGGAUAGCCUUUCGAAAGAAAGAUUAAUACCCGAUGGCAUAAUUAGACCGCAUGGUCUUAUUAUUAAAGAAUUUCGGUUAUCGAUGGGGAUGCGUUCCAUUAGGCAGUUGGUGAGGUAACGGCUCACCAAACCUUCGAUGGAUGGGGGUUCUGAGAGGAAGGUCCCCCACAUUGGAACUGAGACACGGUCCAA
rnacentral:rRNA from 1 species